UCUCAGAGAUUAAGCCAUGCAUGUCCAAGUACAGACCUUAAAACGGUGAAACCGCGAAUGGCUCAUUAAAUCAGCUAUGGUUCCUUAGAUCGUACAUGCUACAUGGAUAACUGUAGUAAUUCUAGAGCUAAUACAUGCCACUAUGCCCUGACCCGCAAGGGAACGGGUGGAUUUAUUAGAACAGAACCAACCGGGGAUGACUUGUCAUUCCUGUUGCACUCUGUGAUGACUCUGGAUAACUUUACUGAUCGCAGUCGGCCUUGUGUCGGCGACGGAUCUUUCAAAUGUCUGCCCUAUCAACUUUCGAUGGUAGGUGAUCUGCCUACCAUGGUGAUAACGGGUAACGGGGAAUCAGGGUUCGAUUCCGGAGAGGGAGCCUGAGAAACGGCUACCACAUCCAAGGAAGGCAGCAGGCGCGAAAAUUACCCACUCCCGGCACGGGGAGGUAGUGACGAAAAAUACGAAUACGGGACUCACUCGAGGCUCCGUAAUUCGAAUGAGUACAAUCUAAAUCCUUUAACGAGGACCAAUUGGAGGGCAAGUCUGGUGCCAGCAGCCG
rnacentral:rRNA from 2 species